rnacentral:rRNA from 1 species
GAUCCUGGCUUAGAACGAACGCUGGCGGCGCGUUUAAGCAUGCAAGUCGAGCGGCAAGGGCCUUCGGGCCCCUAGAGCGGCGGACGGGUGAGUAACACGUGGACAAUCUGCCCCCCGGCCCGGGAUAGCCCAGGGAAACCUGGAUUAAUACCGGAUGAGACGGGACCCGCGAUGGCGGGACCCGGGAAAGGCGCUGCGGCGCCGCCGGGGGAUGAGUCUGCGUCCCAUUAGCUAGACGGCGGGGUAACGGCCCACCGUGGCGACGAUGGGUAGCCGGCCUGAGAGGGUGGACGGCCACAUUGGAACUGAGACACGGUCCAGACUCCUACGGGAGGCAGCAGCUAAGAAUCUUCCGCAAUGGGCGAAAGCCUGACGGAAGCGACGCCGCGUGAACGAAGAAGGCCGUGAGGUUGUAAAGUUCUUUUCGGGAGGGGGAACAACCGUGGCAGGGAAUGGCCGCGGGAUGACGUGAAUCCCGGAAUAAGCCCCGGCUAACUACGUGCCAGCCGCCGC